GGGCAAUGAUGUUCAUGUACAUAAAGCAUUUCUACACAAUUUAAACAUGUUCACAAGUAGAAGCAAGUCCAUCAUUGAUGUUUACCAUCGAUUUGGCAUACUGUUUUGGGAUCAUCCCGAUUUGCUUGUGGAGCUGAAUUGCUUUCUGCCAGCUUCGUCAAAUGGUCCAAUUCGUGAAGGAGGGAUUGCUAUGUUAUUUCAAUCGCUUCAGUUUAUAUAAAUAGGUGGAAUACUAUGAUAGUACUAUAGUUUUUGUUUCUUUUUUUUGCUGAUUAAAAAAAAAAUCUUAUAUUUUGGAAAGAAAAAAAAAAAAUAUAUAUAUAUAUAUAUAUAUAUAUAUAGGAGAUCCACAAAAUCGAAAGAUCUACAAAAAUGUGUUAUACAACAAUAUCUUAUGAUAUGUUUAUCGCUAUCUAUAAUAUACUAUUUAUGAUAAUUAAAAUAUAAAUUUAAACCUGUUAUAUUUUAAUUAUCAUAAGAGUCAAUAAUACACCUUUCAGUGAUUAUUCUCGUUAACUUGUCAAUAUAUCAAGAAAUUGCUUGAGCAUUUCUCUGUGAUAACCAAAGAGUAGAUGAGAUGCUUCAUUCUUUUUUUUUUUUUGAGCAACGAGAUGCUUCAUUCAAAAGACUUGCAAACUGGAAGAUCAUACCAAAACAAAGCAAACUUGUUCAUUCACCAACUUGACAGAGACAACAACAA